UGGGGAAUAUUGCACAAUGGGCGCAAGCCUGAUGCAGCCAUGCCGCGUGUAUGAAGAAGGCCUUCGGGUUGUAAAGUACUUUCAGCGGGGAGGAAGGUGUUGAGGUUAAUAACCUCAGCAAUUGACGUUACCCGCAGAAGAAGCACCGGCUAACUCCGUGCCAGCAGCCGCGGUAAUACGGAGGGUGCAAGCGUUAAUCGGAAUUACUGGGCGUAAAGCGCACGCAGGCGGUCAGUCAAGUCGGAUGUGAAAUCCCCGGGCUCAACCUGGGAACUGCAUUCGAAACUGGCAGGCUAGAGUCUUGUAGAGGGGGGUAGAAUUCCAGGUGUAGCGGUGAAAUGCGUAGAGAUCUGGAGGAAUACCGGUGGCGAAGGCGGCCCCCUGGACAAAGACUGACGCUCAGGUGCGAAAGCGUGGGGAGCAAACA
rnacentral:rRNA from 1 species